CCUACCGUGCAGCUGGGAGACAAGCCCCAGCCCCAGGAGUCCCAGGUGUUCCCAUUCUGUGAUCAGCACAGAACACACACACCUCACCAUGGAGUUUGUGCUGGGCUGGGUGUUCCUGGUUGCUCUUUUAAAAGGUGUCCAGUGUGACGUUCAGCUGGUGGAGUCUGGGGGAGACCUGGUGAAGCCCGGGGGGUCCCUGAGACUCACCUGUGUGGCCUCUGGAUUCACCUUCAGUGACUACAACAUGGACUGGGUCCGCCAGGCUCCAGGAAAGGGGCUGCAGUGGGUCGCGUAUAUUAGUAGUAGUGGAGGUAGCACAAGCUACGAAGACUCCGUGAAGGGCCGAUUCACCAUCUCCAGAGACAACUCCAAGAACACGCUGUAUCUGCAGAUGAACAAUCUCAAGACCGAGGACACGGCCACAUAUUACUGUGCAAGAGACACAGUGAGGGGACAUCACUGCGAACCCAGACACAAACCUCCCUGCUGGAGGGGAUCAGCACCACAAGGGGGCGCACACUAUGCACAAUUCUGCUUUGUGUUCCCAGGCGCAGGUGCAGAUGGAGGUUACAGGCAGACUCUGCUGAUGAUGACUCAGGAUGCUCAGGGAGCCUUGCAGAUGGACUACCCCUUCAUGCCUCCAGACUGUUACUACCUCGGCUACCUGGAGGAGAUUCCUUUUUCCAUGGUCACAAUUGACACAGGCUAUGGCAGCCUUGAAGAUAUCAUGAAGUUGGAUUAA